UAAGAGCUGCUCCAUUUCCUCUAGGAUUAUUGUGAAGUCACUGGCUUCGUCUUUACAUAAGGUCUGCUGUUCCAGGAACUGGACACUCUCCUCUUCUUUCAGCUUCAACUUCACCUUCAAGGCCUGAAAGGGAAAUCAUCCCAGAGGGAAACCCAUAACACAACUCUUACAACAAAGACAGCACCCGGACCAGACCGUUAUACCCAUGCUACAUAGAGGGGGGCGACCCCAGUACCAGACAGCAUCUUAUUUCCCACCUUAAAAUUUAUCUGUGCUGGCUCGGGGAAUUUCCCUACUCUGUAUUUAAACUGGAACAAUGAAACCGUUUGUGUCUCCUGCCCCACCAUUUGUCUGGCAAUCGGAAGGCGUCCAAGAAUCUCACCAUGUGGACCAGGCUUCAAACGUACGCAGACCCCUGCUGCCUCUGUAAUAGAAGGGAUCAAAUUCAGACAGCAACGCUUGUACGGCAAGGACCUUAAUCCACCGACCAGCCAUCUUAAGCCUCUGACCACCCUCCCCCUCCAUCCUAAAACAUUAAAAAAAAAAUUCUAAUGUGCAUGUGAAGACAUGUGUGCAUGCACUGUGAGAUGUGUGUGGAGGCCAGAGGGCAACUUGGGGAACUGGGUUUUUCCUUCCAUCACACCGGUUCUGGGAUCAAACUUGUUUGUGAGACUUGCAACAAGGACUUUUACCUACUGAGCCAUCUCAACAGCUUUCUACUAUUAAAAAAAAAAAAAAAAAAAAAAAUUACUUGUAGGGAAGGGGAGAAUUUAUACCACUCUGUGGAGGUCAGAGGACAAAGUGAAGGACCCAGUCCAGGUCAUCAGGCUUGGUGACAAGACCCUUUACCUGCUCCUCCAUCUCAAAUG
ensembl:antisense Gm14091 predicted gene 14091